CAGAGUACCUGGAAUUACAGUCUAAAGAAGAGGGAGGAGCAGUCUGAUAAUCCGGAGGAGCAAGACUGGCCCAAAGCACUUUCCUUGAUUAGUGGAGACAUUCUGGAGGAGGAGCCAAGCUCUGGGCUAAAGUUUACAGGACUCCCAGCGGUUCCUCUUACAG
rnacentral:antisense_RNA from 1 species